CUUGAUCGACCCGAGCAGCAGCGGCCGGUCGGCGGGCCGGUCCUGCCCGUACGUGGCCAGCAGCGCCUGCGCUUC
rnacentral:antisense_RNA from 1 species